CGCUGGAGGCCCUAAAAGGCAGGUUGGUUUUUUAGACUAAUUUCGGUGUAAAAUCACCCCUAGCGC
rnacentral:tRNA from 1 species